rnacentral:tRNA from 1 species
GGAAGAGUGGCAGAGUGGUUUAAUGCACCGGUUUCGAAAACCGGCAUGGGGUAAAAUCCAUCGUGAGUUCAAAUCUCACCUCUUCCG